AAUGCCCCUUGAGGCGUUGCAGCUCAACCAUCAGUGUUGCAGUUGUGUCAUGAGGUGGCAGAGAGAGAAGAGUGGAGGUCUGCACUGAGACUCCCAACACAUGGAGGACUCAGAGUCAUACUUUCCAUCAACAUU